CACGCUUCCCCGAGGACUCGUAUAUAACUGCAGGACGUUCCGGUUGAGUUCACGCACCCACGAAAGAUCGUUAUGUUGGACAUUCCAGAGGUGGUAGUCACGUGACUAACAAGAUGGCGACGCCCAUGCCAAGACAGUCCCACGAGAAAAAGUCACGCAAUUGAGCCGUAUUCCACGCAAAAAUGUUCAAAAUGACGCUAAGCUGUACUCCGCAAAUCUUAAAUCAAAAAAGCAAAACAACUUGUGUGUCAAAUUAGCAAAAAGACAUGUGCGUCAAAUGAGCAAAACGACUUGUGUGUCAAAUGGGA